CCUACGGGAGGCAGCAGUCGAGAAUAAUUCUCAAUGGGGGAAACCCUGAUGGUGCGACGCCGCGUGGGGGAAUGAAGGUCUUCGGAUUGUAAACCCCUGUCAUGUAGGAGCAAAUUAAAACGAUAGUACCACACGAGGAAGAGACGGCUAACUCUGUGCCAGCAGCCGCGGUAAUACAGAGGUCUCAAGCGUUGUUAGGAAUCACUGGGCGUAAAGCGUGCGUAGGCUGUUUCGUAAGUCGUGUGUGAAAGGCGCGGGCUCAACCCGCGGACGGCACAUGAUACUGGGAGAUUAGAGUAAUGGAGGGGGAACCGGAAUUCGCGGUGUAGCAGUGAAAUGCGUAGAUA
rnacentral:rRNA from 1 species